UUGAUUUGAUUUGAUUUGAUGCUGAAGUUGCCUAAUACACGACAAAAACUGGGUUGAAGCAAGCGAUAAUGUUUUCCGAUAAUACCGAUUCCUAUUAAUUUUCACGUUAUGUCAGGUAUCGUAUUCGUAAAAUCACUGACGCCCGAAAGGUGAAAAAAAAAAAAACAUUCGCACGCUUUUUACUAUCGUGCGAUAUAUUGAGACUUCUUAUGGAAGCAACGCAAGUACACUCAAGUGAUUUCUGUUUUUUUUUUCUAGGGCUCUGAUGCAUAUCGAGAAUCAGUAUACACGUGCGUUGGGAAUAUGUCAGCCCUCCUCACCAGUCGAUUGAACCCGGAAUGGAUAGAAGAUCAGUCCGGCCAAGAUCCUUCGGGCCUGUACUACGAAGGCGUUAAGUGUGCCCGGAAACACAAAGUGUUCACGGAGGACUCAGCUGUCGCACUCUUUGGAAUAAAAUGGGUGCGAGACACGCUCUUUUAGAGGACCGUGCAAAAUUAGAUACAGUUCAGACUAGUGUGCGCGUUCAUUAUCUGAAAUGUCACGGUUUUGCUUAAGCAUAAAGUUAUGAGGACAAUAAUCGAAAUAAAACAGAAGAGACGCGCGUUCAAGAAGGCCAUAUUGAUAAUUUUCCAACUGGUUGCAACAUUUGCAAAAUUUUGUCAUGAGAUGAGAGUCAUGGGACCUUGGCUUUUGGCGUCACUGAGCGAUGAGAUUAUGUGAGAGCACCGCACAAAAUAACAGAGUUUGGAUGAGCCCGUUUCGACCCUGUGCGCGUCCGCCGUGUCGAAGUGCUUGAGCCCGAAAUCUCAGUAAGCACGUAAACACGUCCAACGACUCAGCCACAUGGCGAAAACGGUCACGCGAUUGGCUGCACUGAUCAUUUGACAUUCAGUCCAGUAAUCUCUUAACCGCCCUUAACCGUGGCAGUGGUUAGUCAUUUGAACGGGAGCAUUGAUUGUACAGCGAAACGCGGUGCGAUUUGUCUCGGUUGGAAUGUGGUUUUCUUUCUGCCGCGUUCCUUUGGCAGGGUGACACUUGCAGCAAUUCAUCUUUCAGCGGGUUCGGAAAGCCUGCCAGCAAUGGCACAUUAGUAACUCAAGAGUGCACACACGAUCUGCGAUAGCAAGUUCCCCGAAGAGCGGCAAAUGCUGUUCGAAAAAACUAUAAAGUACACCCCCCAUACGGCGAUUGUAAAAUAUUUUGCCAUCUGGAAAGCUUAGUAAAGCCAAUAAUGGUCUUAGAGUAAAAUCAUAAACAAAGCCUACACGAUGGCUGAAUCGCGCAUCAUCGCAACCACGUGUUUGUGAACCUGUUUUAGGUACUUCAGUGAUCAAGAACCAUGAUAACAUAACGCGCGAAAUUAACGAGGUUGACGAGAGGCCAAGCUCAGAUCGCGUGAACGCCUAUCAUCCUCGUUUAACUGAUAUAUAGUUGAAACUAUGUACCCAUCACGCGGCGUUGCUAAAGUGCAUAAAUAUAUAUAUUUUUUUUUUCGAGAAUAAAAGGGUUCUUUGAUGUUUGGA